CUCCACACCUCCUCUCUUUCCAACACCCAAGUAUUGGGCAUCCCAUCAUCUCACAUGCCCAAGGAGAAGGAUGUUUUCUUCUACCUCAAGCAAAAGGGAGAAAGGCUGUAGUUCAAGCAUUGAAACUGUAGUCAGAGAUCAACAUGUGAUCAAAGAUUCAAAAGGCUGAGAUCCUAUUUACAGAAGAUGGAUUUACAAUGAGAAGAAGAGUUUAUGGUUGAUCCUGAUGGAUAUCUAUAGAGGCCGGAUACGUGUGUAGCUCAAGAACCUUCAGAUCUAAGAUCAUCGAUUGUGGUGAAUUUUAAUCCAUGCAAGGUAUUGAGAUCUGA
rnacentral:lncRNA from 1 species